rnacentral:rRNA from 1 species
AGAGUUUGAUCAUGGCUCAGGACGAACGCUGGCGGCGUGCUUAACACAUGCAAGUCGAACGGAAAGGCCCCUUCGGGGGUACUCGAGUGGCGAACGGGUGAGUAACACGUGGGUGAUCUGCCCUGCACUUUGGGAUAAGCCUGGGAAACUGGGUCUAAUACCGAAUAGGACCACGCGCUUCAUGGUGUGUGGUGGAAAGCUUUUGCGGUGUGGGAUGGGCCCGCGGCCUAUCAGCUUGUUGGUGGGGUAAUGGCCUACCAAGGCGACGACGGGUAGCCGGCCUGAGAGGGUGACCGGCCACACUGGGACUGAGAUACGGCCCAGACUCCUACGGGAGGCAGCAGUGGGGAAUAUUGCACAAUGGGCGCAAGCCUGAUGCAGCGACGCCGCGUGAGGGAUGACGGCCUUCGGGUUGUAAACCUCUUUCAAUAGGGACGAAGCGUGAGUGACGGUACCUAUAGAAGAAGCACCGGCCAACUACGUGCCAGCAGCCGCGGUAAUACGUAGGGUGCGAGCGUUGUCCGGAAUUACUGGGCGUAAAGAGCUCGUAGGUGGUUUGUCGCGUUGUUCGUGAAAACUCACAGCUUAACUGUGGGCGUGCGGGCGAUACGGGCAGACUAGAGUACUGCAGGGGAGACUGGAAUUCCUGGUGUAGCGGUGGAAUGCGCAGAUAUCAGGAGGAACACCGGUGGCGAAGGCGGGUCUCUGGGCAGUAACUGACGCUGAGGAGCGAAAGCGUGGGGAGCGAACAGGAUUAGAUACCCUGGUAGUCC